rnacentral:misc_RNA from 1 species
AAGUCGUAACAAGGUUUCCGUAGGUGAACCUGCGGAAGGAUCAUUAACACGUAUCCACGUACCAACCAACCGCGCACUUUGUUUUCACCUCUCCCUGCUCCUGCGAGUGGAAGAGGCCAGACUGUGGGAAUGGGACUCGCAAGAGCCGCUGUCUGCCUCUGAUCUGUGCGCAAGCACUAACACGCGCUGGAGUGAGGCUUUUUCUCGUGGCGCCAGCUCCAUUCACGCUGGCGUCGCGGGAGCUACACACCAAUGUCACCCCCUUUUUGCUAGUUGACUUUUUUCUGUGUCGCCCUCUGGGCCUCACACGUUUCAUUAUUUGAACGUAAAAAAUACAACUCUUAGCAAUGGAUAUCUUGGUUCUC